GCCUUACACAUGCAAGUCGAACGGUAGAGUAGCAAUACUUGAGAGUGGCGAACGGGUGAGUAAGAUAUCGGAACGUGCCCAACUGUGGGGGAUAACGUAGAGAAAUUUACGCUAAUACCGCAUACGAUCUAAGGAUGAAAGCGGGGGAUCGCAAGACCUCGCGCAGUUGGAGCGGCUGAUAUCAGAUUAGCUUGUUGGUGAGGUAAAAGCUCACCAAGGCGACGAUCUGUAGCUGGUUUGAGAGAACGACCAGCCACACUGGGACUGAGACACGGCCCAGACUCCUACGGGAGGCAGCAGUGGGGAAUUUUGGACAAUGGGCGAAAGCCUGAUCCAGCAAUGCCGCGUGCAGGAAGAAGGCCUUCGGGUUGUAAACUGCUUUUGUACGGAACGAAACGGUCCGCUUUAAUACAGUGGGCUAAUGACGGUACCGUAAGAAUAAGCACCGGCUAACUACGUGCCAGCAGCCGCGGUAAUACGUAGGGUGCGAGCGUUAAUCGGAAUUACUGGGCGUAAAGCGUGCGCAGGCGGUUAUAUAAGACAGUUGUGAAAUCCCCGGGCUCAACCUGGGAAUUGCAUCUGUGACUGUAUAGCUAGAGUACGGUAGAGGGGGAUGGAAUUCCGCGUGUAGCAGUGAAAUGCGUAGAUAUGCGGAGGAACACCGAUGGCGAAGGCAAUCCCCUGGACCUGUACUGACGCUCAUGCACGAAA
rnacentral:rRNA from 1 species